rnacentral:rRNA from 1 species
UACGAAGGGAGCUGGCGUUGUUCGGAAUCACUGGGCGUAAAGCGCACGUAGGCGGAUUUGUCAGUCAGGGGUGAAAUCCCGGGGCUCAACCUCGGAACUGCCUUUGAUACAGCAAGUCUUGAGUUCGAGAGAGGUGGGUGGAAUUCCUAGUGUAGAGGUGAAAUUCGUAGAUAUUAGGAAGAACACCGGUGGCGAAGGCGGCCCACUGGCUCGAUACUGACGCUGAGGUGCGAAAGCGUGGGGAGCAAACAGG